rnacentral:rRNA from 1 species
GAUGAACGCUGGCGGCGUGCCUAAUACAUGCAAGUCGAGCGAACAGACGAGGAGCUUGCUCCUCUGACGUUAGCGGCGGACGGGUGAGUAACACGUGGAUAACCUACCUAUAAGACUGGGAUAACUUCGGGAAACCGGAGCUAAUACCGGAUAAUAUAUUGAACCGCAUGGUUCAAUAGUGAAAGACGGUUUUGCUGUCACUUAUAGAUGGAUCCGCGCCGCAUUAGCUAGUUGGUAAGGUAACGGCUUACCAAGGCAACGAUGCGUAGCCGACCUGAGAGGGGGAUCGGCCACACUGGAACUGAGACACGAUCCAGACUCCUACGGGAGGCAGCAGUAGGGAAUCUUCCGCAAUGGGCGAAAGCCUGACGGAGCAACGCCGCGUGAGUGAUGAAGGUCUUCGGAUCGUAAAACUCUGUUAUUAGGGAAGAACAAAUGUGUAAGUAACUAUGCACGUCUUGACGGUACCUAAUCAGAAAGCCACGGCUAACUACGUG